rnacentral:rRNA from 1 species
UGAGGAAUAUUGGUCAAUGGGCGAGAGCCUGAACCAGCCAAGUCGCGUGAAGGAAGAAGGAUCUAUGGUUCGUAAACUUCUUUUGCAGGGGAAUACAGUGCAGGACGUGUCCUGUUUUGUAUGUACCCUGAGCAUAAGGAUCGGCUAACUCCGUGACAGCAGCCGCGGUAAUACGGAGGAUCCGAGCGUUAUCCGGAUUUAUUGGGUUUAAAGGGUGCGUAGGUGGUUUAAUAAGUCAGCGGGUAAAGUGUGAAGCUUAACUUGAAGAAUGCCGUUGAAACUGUAAGACUUGAGUGUAAAUGAGGUAGGCGGAAUGCGUGGUGAAGCGGGGAAAUGCUUAGAUAUCACGCAGAACUCCGAUUGCGAAGGCAGCUUACCAAGCUACAACUGACACUGAAGCACGAAAGCGUGGGGAUCAAACA